CUACGGGCUGCUCCAGUGAGGAAUAUUGCACAAUGGGGGGAACCCUGAUGCAGCAACGCCGCGUGGAGGAUGACGCAUUUCGGUGUGUAAACUCCUUUUAUAUGUCAAGAAAAUGACGGUAGCAUAUGAAUAAGCACCGGCUAACUCCGUGCCAGCAGCCGCGGUGAAUACGGAGGGUGCAAGCGUUACUCGGAAUCACUGGGCGUAAAGGACGCGUAGGCGGGUUGGAAAGUCAGGUGUGAAAUCCUACAGCUUAACUGUAGAACUGCACUUGAAACUUCUAAUCUAGAGUAUGGGAGGGGGAGAUGGAAUUAGUGGUGUAGGGGUAAAAUCCGUAGAUAUCACUAGGAAUACCUAAAGCGAAGGCGAUCUCCUGGAACAUUACUGGCGCUAAGGCGUGAAAGCGUGGGGAGCAAGCAGGAUUAGAUACCCUCGUAGUC
rnacentral:rRNA from 1 species